CAUCAAAUAACUCACUUACCACCCAUCCUUAAAGAGCACAAGUUUGAUGACCAUCCUGAUAGUGCACAGGCUUUAGGGAUGACUGGAGGGUGCCAUUGAGUAUCGCUAUUGCCAUGAUGAUUGCUUAUAACUUUCCCACCCUCCAUCUGGCUCCUUCCUCUUCAAGACACUGCCUCCUGCAACUUGAAACAUCCUUGACUGCUCCUCUGCAAACGCCUGUGAACUGGCUACAGACAAUUGUCU
rnacentral:misc_RNA from 1 species